rnacentral:siRNA from 1 species
UUGUAUAGCUUUAAUAAACUCUCC